CACCUGCGGUCUGUGGAGUAGGCGCCACUUUGGGUACUUGAGGAGAGGUUGUCUGUGAUGAGUUCGCUUUAUUAAUGACGAAUAUAACACAGAUG
rnacentral:miRNA from 1 species